rnacentral:lncRNA from 1 species
AACAACAGAUAGAUUAUCCUAUUGUGAGGCAGCACAAACAUGCAAUCAGAAACUAAGCAGCAUGAAGCCAAUCAAAAGUAGACCACAGUAACAACUCAACAUUAUAAAUUACAUGGAUCCACACCACCAAGAAAUGGAGAUAAACUCCAAAGAUUAUAUGCAUACAGAAGAGUGUUAGGAGAUAACAUGUGAAAGGAAAUAAGACAAACAUAGUCUUUAUGAAGGUUCAACCACAAAGUUGUCAUUAAUGACUUGAAUCACAAAGCCAUAAUUAGCAGGACACAAGAUGUAAGAAAAUUAUACUUAACUGACGUAAACAUCACCUCUAAAAUUCCAAGC